UACGUAGGGUGCAAGCGUUGUCCGGCAUUAUUGGGCGUAAAGAGCUCGUAGGCGGUCUGUCGCGUCGGCUGUGAAAUCCCGGAGCUCAACUCCGGGUCUGCAGUCGAUACGGGCAGACUGGAGGUAUGCAGGGGAGAACGGAAUUCCUGGUGUAGCGGUGAAAUGCGCAGAUAUCAGGAGGAACACCGGUGGCGAAGGCGGUUCUCUGGGCAUUACCUGACGCUGAGGAGCGAAAGUGUGGGGAGCGAACAGG
rnacentral:rRNA from 1 species